CAGCUUGGGUCUCUCCUCAACAUGCCAGCACCUGCCUACAAUGGACUUAAUAGCACAAUGGCACCCUUGGAAACUCAAGAAAAUUAUGUUUUUCAACCAAUUCUCCCAGCUCAGACUCCACAGUAUCCUAAGAAACAUCUUGGACUGAAUCCUCAGCAAAGAAUGAGGAACCCCUACUUUAAU